GACAGCACAUCGACCAGGAUUACAAAAAACUUGUGAAUGCCUGCAAGAAAGUUUAAAUUAACAAAUAAAACAAAUAAAUGAUUGUGAAAAACCCCGACAUGCAUUAGUUCCAACUUAUUCAUUCUGAAUGCACGAGACAAUUGUAUAUCCAAUUAUAAAAAAUUUGAGUAAAUAAAAAAAAAUCGUCACGGUUUACAAAUUCGGUAAUUUGUUUUCCGCGGAAGAAAAGCAUUCCGGAUGAGAAUAGGAUCCAAUUGAAUAGAAGAUUGAAGAAAAUGGAACCGGCGAUUGAGAAAGACUACAAGAUGAAAAGCCAGAGACAAUGAUUAUAGCCCAAAGGAAGCUAAGAUACACUAAGUUAUACGAAAAGCACGAUAGCUUAUUCAUAAACAAUCCAAUUUCGAAAAUUGUGUUGUGCCAGUUACAAAUUACAGCAAUCGGUGAUAAAAAUCAAAGCUGACUUUGUUAUUGGCCGUAUCUUUUCGAAACUUUGAUUCUACUGCUUAUGGAACCGUUCUUUAAUUUGAUUGUGUUUGGGAGAAGAAACUGUAUGAUAGUAGUGUGUGCAGACACGCAAGAUGAAUGAAAUACUUCGAAAGGAAUGUUUAUGUAAAUACUUGUGGAGACUCAGUUUAACUCCAGCAUUUUUUCAACUAUCCCAAUAAUCCCAUUAUUUCUAUUUCUGCCUCACGUUUCUAUUAGCAUAGUAUGGUUGGAAUUUUGAGUUACUUCUUUGUAGCAUUCUUUAAGGAUUCAUUUUUACAAACCACCAAAUCAUUGUGUACAAGUUAUACUUAGGUAAUCAUAUGCAUGCUCCGUUGCUUAUCUCGUUACCAAAAAUCUGUAAACUAACACUUUUACAAUAGUCAAUUAAGAUAUUCGGGUUUUUUAGAUGCAGCUUCUGUAUAGUUUUCUUACUCAAAGCGCAUUAUUUUUCUACGGAUAGAUUUUAAGGAGCAAAAACAGUAUCAUCAGCUUUUAUCAGUCAUGUCGAAUGUGAGGAUUCUUCAUGCUACGUUAAAGAAACGAGUCGAAAAGGAAGUGCGGUUGACAACGACUAUUUAAAUGCUAAGGAAAUAAAAAUGUAGUAAGUUUUUAAAGUUACCGAUGGAAACGUAGUAUUACGUAUAUGGAAUCUUGCAUCA